rnacentral:lncRNA from 1 species
CCGUUAGUUAUUUAAGCAUGCGAGCCACAUGUGGUGGGCUUAUGAUGGCAACCAUAGUGAAUAUUGAACAAGUUGGCAACUCACGAGCCAUCCUCUGUGUCCUUGAUGUCCAUCUUUGUUGAGCACCUUGACUGCAACAGGUAGUGACUUCAGACCAACCCUGACAUUCUCAUCUAUGUAGCCCUUGUAAACAGUCACAAACCCUCCUUCACCAAGAAGGUAGUCAGCACGGAAGCUUUUUGUGAUGGUCUCAAGUUCAAACAAUAAGUCAAUCACAUCGUUGUAUAUGGAGAUGUUCUUGGCAUCUUCAACUUCAAUUUUCCUAGGUGUUGAAGGAUCACUCAUAUCUGAUGAGAUGCGGGUGUGCUUCCUCUCUGCAACAGCAUUCUUGACAGGAUGUUGUAGCAAGUGGAGCUGCUGAACUGAGAAGAUGGCAUUUCAACAACAAAAAAGAAAAAAAUAGUCAAGGUAAAAACGAAUUAAGGUUACCAUAAAUUCUUAUACAUAAGAUAAAAAGCAUGUUUUUUUUUUCUUCAUAUUGAAUUUUCAGCAUUCACGGAGAUGGUUGGAUGAAAGAGAGCUAAUCAUGUUGAAAUACGUUUAGGAAAGCUAUAAUCACAAACUAACAAGAGAACUAUUGGAAACGAGCGUUGGCGAUUCCUAGCAAUUAUAAAAUGGUAUUCUACCUAAAAAUACUGUAAAAAAGUACAUACAUGGGCAAGUUGAUUAGGUCAUGCACAAUGUAGAAAUAAGGAGGGUCUUAAGCCCCUUGAGAAGCAUUUAUACAUUGUGGAGGUGAUCCUUCUAGGAGGCUUUUGGAUGAGCCGUCCUUAUGGCUAAGGACCGGCCACAAGGAUUAAAAAAAAUUAGUUCUCUCUCCGGUUCUGUUGAUUGCCGCCAUGGAAACGAAACAAAGAGGAAGAAGGCCCGGGGAGGGGAAGUAUUGAGCAGUCGAGCAGCUGUGUGGAGUUGUGCUGCAAGCCCUACCGCCGCCGGAUUUCGCCCGCAGGCCCCACCGCCACAACCGGAGAUCUGUCGCCGAAGCCAACCGCGAGCGCCACAGACGCCGUCCGAGAGGGCCGCUGCGGAUCCGCGAGCGCGAGCUCCACCGGCGCCGUACACGAGCGCCUCCUUGGAUCCGCUCCCGUGAAUGCCGCCGCCGCCGCCGCCGCCACCAUCGCGGAUCCGCUCGUGACUUGCCACCUUCGUCGUCCGCGAGCGCUGCGCCGACGCAUCCUCCUCCGAUGAGCGCCUCCACGGCUGUUGGAUCCGCGGGCCACCAGCCGCGAGCACCACCGCCAUCACGGAUCCACGAGCGUGAGCUGCCGGCGGCGUCGUCAUCGGUGGCCGGUGGGUGAGGAGAAGCCGAAAGGAUGGGGAAAUUUUGGGUGGCUGCCGGCUAGAGAGAGAAUAGGGUGGUUGGGAUGGUAAGGUACUUUAUUAAAAUGUGGGGCCCACCUUAGAGCAUCCUCAUCAUUUCAUCUAAAUUUGAACCUCCAUAUUCCUAUUUAUAUUUAGAUGGUCAUCUAAAAAUAUUCCUCCUCCAUAUAUUUACCUACUCCAACAAAUCAUCCAUAUCACAUUAUUCUAUAUUUUACUAAUAUUUUUAACAACCCAGUACCCAUAUAUUUCUAUCAAUCUUUUUUAAGAGCUAUAUAUUUCAAUUUAACUGUAUAGUUACCACUUUGAGAAUACAGUUUUAAUCCUCUGUUUAGAAACACACGAGAGACGAGACACCGCCAGGGAACAGACCUUAUCCUCUGCUAGGAAAAAAAAGAAUGAAAAACAAAACUGCUAGAUAUGCAUCGCUCCUCGUUGAUUCCAACCGAGAGGCGAAAGGCAGACGGUGCGAGCGGAGCGGGUGAUGCGGCGGGACGACAGGGCAGGGCGGCGCGAGUAGAGUCACGAUGGAGCAGCGAUACAGCUUGGCUGGCCCGACGGCGAAGCGAUACGCGGGUGGCGGCGUAGCGCAGGUCGCGGUCGGCGCGGACGGCGGGGCACUGUGAGCGGCGGCGCAGCGCGGGUCGCAGUCUGCGAGGAUGGCGGGGCCUCCACUCCGGCGAUCUUCACCGCCCGAUCCGGUAUGCACAUCCUCUCUCUCUCUCUCUUCCCUGUUGCCCACGAGUCCGGAUGGUGGCGCGAGUCGUGGAAACUGGGCAGUUGAGGGAUGGAGUGAGCAGAGAGAAAUACCAAAUUUGGCUGGACAGGACUCGGUUUAAAGGAUAUCCAAAAGGAGCAUGAUUUUUCACUUCCAUACACUAAACAAAAGAUGGGUGGCCGAGGCCGGAUAGAAGAUCUGCUGGGCAUACUCUUAAUACCCCUUCCUCUCAUAUACUCCAACUUGCAAUAUGCUCAGUGGGACCCACCUCGUGCCCACCAUAAUGCCUACUCCCUCGUUCCAAAAAGACAAAAGACGUAUCUACUGUUUAACCGUCCAUUUUAUAUAAAAUAUAAGUCCGUUUUAUAUAAAAUAUUUUUAUGAUUAGUAUUUUUAUUAUUGUUAUAUGAUAAAACAUGAAUAAUAUUUUAUGUCUGACUUAUUUUUAAAUUUUUUUCAUAUUUUUUUAAAUAAAACAGACGGACAAACUUUUUUUUUAGAGAAAGUUAUUUUUUACCCGGCCUCUAUAUCCAACCGGAUAUAUACUGCCAUUGAAAUAGGGAAUUUAGCCCCGCAAACAACCCAAUCUGAAAUUCGCUCCAUAGGAGAUUUGAACUCAAGAUCUUGGGUACUCAGGUCACUAUAACUCAGGAUGGUCAAACGUUAGAUACGAAAAUUCAGGAAUUGAGUUUUUUUUUUUUUUUACCGAGGGAGUGCUGGUUGUGAUCACAGUUGCAUGCAAUAAAAAAGGGCUCUAAAUUUGCUUAAACAAUGCAGCAAACCGCAAGAAGUGAUUAUGUUUUUCCAACUUGCAGGAUCAUAACUCUAUUUUCUGUUAAACUGAAAGUCGACAGUGCCUCAGUGGAGCAAAGAGCACAGAAAUUGCAGCACUAUUGAGGGAAGUGCCUGUAAAUUGUCCCGAUGAACACGAUGAAGCAGAAAUCCCCAAUGAACCCACCAACCAAGAGAUCAGGGGAACCCAGAAAUAACCACCAAGAUCAAUUUUUUUUUGAUGAAAUUCAGAUCAUCCAACCCGAGAUCCCAUCCCAACAACCAGCAUCCCAAAAAAAAACAAUCACCACCCCGAAUCGGGAAAUCCCCAAAAAUCAAUCCAAUAAAAAGGAGGAAGUGUAGAAUACCUUGGGCGUGCGCCGCGACGACGGCAUUCUCCUCUCGCGUCCCGCAGUUGCCCAUCUAUCUCCUCCUCCUCCUGGUGUUUUUUUAUGGUGGUGGUGAUGGUGGGUCUGUCUCUCUCUCUCUUAUAGUGGAGGAACGCGGCUGCUUUCGGGAGGGAGGGUUGGGCUUCACUCAUGGCACGCAAAACGGAGGACUAUUUAGCGCGUGAUGAAACGGAGUGCUAUUUAGCGUGUGAUUAAUUAAGUAUUAAAUAAUUUUUUUAAAAAAAUAAAUUAAUAUAAUUUUGUAAACAACUUUUGCAUAGAAACUUAAAAAAAAACAUAUUGUUUAGUAGUUUGAAAAGCACGCGAAAAUCAAAAACAUUGCCGAAUACAGCCUAACCGUUAACUGGAGGAGGAGGAGAAGAAAAGGCUGUGCUGCAACAAACUAACAAACUGCAUAACAAACUGUGAUCAUAUGGACUCGCAUGCAUAAUAAACUGUGGUCGGCAUCAUAAGGUCACCACAUGCGGCUCGCAUGCUUAACAAACUGCGGUCACCAUCAUAAGCUCACCAAAUAUGUCUUGCAUGCUUAACAAACUAACAGCAUAAUUAGAUCACUUGAUGACAACACAUAUCAUUUUUCGCUAUAUAUACUAUCGAUUGUAAGUAUAUCUUAAAUAUAUAGUUUAUUUUUUUUAUUUUCACCAAUUUUAAGAUGAUAGAGUGGGCGGAUAUUGGAAAAAUCUAAUCCGCAAUAACACCGCUCUAUAUUUACCCUUGCAUUGGGGUACUGCUCUUUUAGGCGGUGGUGGCGAAUCUCACGUCCACAACUAGAGAAUUGGUGAGUGACGGAGCCCGAGUUACCGCCCAACCUACUCGGAAGUUGGCUCAACAGUUAGGCUGUGUUUAUUUCACGCUAAAAUUGAAAGUUUGGUUGAAAUUAGAAUGAUGUGACGGAAAGGUUGGAAGUUUUUGUGUGUAGAAAAGUUUUGAUGUGAUGAAAAAGUUAAAAGUUUGAAGAAAAACUUUGAAACUAAACAUGGCCUUAGUUAAACUCUAUGAUUUAACCAAAUAAAAAUUUAGUACUACUGUAACCGAACUAGCAUAGCAUAUUUAUUUUAGUUGUCACUGCCUAUAAGGAACACAUAUAUCUGCUUCAACAUUCAGAUAUGCUAUUUUUUCAUAAACUUUUCUACAAUACAAUUGUAUGCAAAUCAAAUUGCAUUUUAGAAACCGUAUCGAUGUAAAAGCGUCACUUGUGAUUGAAGGGAGUGAUUUUAAGUUUUCUACUCCUAUAAAAAGGGAACCAGUAGUUACCUCAUGAUUAAGCAUGUGGGAAUCCAUCUCUCAAGCCGAUCAGACAGAUUGUCAGCGAUUAUUGUAGAUGAAUCAUCCCUAGAUGCAUGCAUAGCUACAUGUCAACAUGUAAUGAGAAGGGUCAUGAUACGUGUGAAGUGAUUGGACGGUAGCGGCUACGUGUACCUCCUUGUGAUGGAUUAGUAGCGACAAGUACGUGAUUAGGCCUGCAAGUGCGUGUCUGCACAUGGUUGUAAGUUUUGAGAGUUCUUGGGAUAUGUUAAUUAGUGAAGUAAUUAACUGAUGUGAUAUCAUAAUUAACUAGUCUGAUCGAUCCACGCCAAAAAGCUCUUCGCUGGAGGCUUUUAGGCCCUCCAAUGUUGUGAGUCAUGAGGUGCAUGCUUAGACCAUUCCCAACCCAAACACACUAUAUAUAGUUUCCAUAAAUUUUACAUCAUAAAAAAACUGUACUAGACACUACUCUUCCAAUGCAAACACCACUAUUUUAUAUUUAAAUUUAAUGCUACUUAUUUCACAUGAUGUCUUGGAUAUUGUGUAGAAACCAUGUCUCAUGCAAGACAUGAUUUUCUUUUCUUUCCUCAUUUAUUCACUUACCAUAUCAUUUUUCAUCCUAGGUGGCAGCUUAUUUGAUGUUAUGGACAUCAUCAUAGUUAUUGGGUUGGAAAUGGCCUUAGCCAUAGAACAAACUAAAGCUGACAUGCAUUUUAUUUUAUUUUUUUUCAGUCGUCAGAUGCGGUCUCAUUGGAUUAUGCAGCAGCUCGAUCUCUUCACCUUGCCCCACAGGAUCGCAUUCGCAUGGCGACACCAUCAAAACACUUGCACAUUUCUUCAUUUUCUCUUUUCAUGUCACGCUCUACCUCAAGUUCAAGUUUCAACUCCACUCCAUAUACAGUUCAGUAUUCCAAAAUUCCAAUUCAUCACAGGGGCAAGCUACAUUCUCAGCUAAUCAGCUUGGAACAUAGUAGAAAAAUUCAUAUGAAAACAGACUGGAUCUCAUCUCUAGCAGUAACCGCAAAGGAUAAAACCUCAACUUUGUACAUCUGGGGCUAGAAAGUGCAUGCCUCCACCAAGAAAAAAAAAUGAAAUGGUGUACCAAACAGAAACAGACACUCGAGUCCAUCAAGUCACGCGUGUUCAUAACACGUAGUACUGUUCUAUUUACCAUAGCUCUGCAGGUCCAUUCACAUGUGAGCAAGAUGGAGUGAUAAACACACAAAAGCUACUAGACAGGUGUCACAGUCCAAAAUCAAAGCCAAGCCAACAUAUAUUGGCAGGCAAAUCAAGUGAUCAGCGGCCAGAAGAAACAGUGUAAGUUGCUUAGAGCGGGUACAGUAAUAGGCUAUAAGCCAGCUAUAAAUAUAUUUUAAAGAGAUAAAAUAGAAGAGAAAAGAACAGCGGGCUACAGAUUUGUAGCCAGCUGCAGCACGGACUCCAAGACACAGUGUGUGUAUGACAGGUGGGACCAUGUAUUAAUAGUAUAGUAAGCAAUUAUUGUAUAAAUCAACUAUUAGAUUGGUUAUAGAUGAAUUAGAGCUAGUAGUGGACUAUACUAUACCAUUGAACUUAGCUCUUACAGGAGAGCAGGCACAGGCUGGCCCGGAGCCUCGUGCCCCGGCUGCUCAUCAGUGUGCUACUGUUUGGAGAUCACAGGUAGCGCAUCCCUUUCCAUGGCGAUUUGCGUGUCCCACACUGAACCAGCAGACUGCGACCAUUUGGCAGCCUGCUACUGCUUGCAACCAUUUUGUCAAUGUCCAGUGAUUCACACAUCAAUGUGUAUCAUAAUAAAGAUCCCAACUGUCACCAACCCAGCCUUGAAAAAACAUCCAGAUUCUAGACAAAGUUGCUGUCACCGACCCACACAAAUAUCAGUUUGAUAAUGUUCAGUACCAGAUCAUAACAGAAGUGUACCAAUAUAUAUGAGAAAAGGACUCAUAAGAUCAAGAUGAUGCCACAUAUAAUUGGCAACUCCGAAAUAAAGCAUCAGGAAUAGUUAAUCAAGCUUAACAUUCAAACUCUACAACAAUCCUGAACAAAAAAUCUACCCAUCUCAAAAUAACACAGCUUGUAUUGGCAGCCACAAAGCCCCAUAUACAGGGAAAUAGGGUCUCCAGUAUCACCCAAGUCAGCACCAUCAUCAAGGUUGCAUCUGAAGUUUCCUAAGCUAUAUCAGCAACAGGAGAUAGUAACCACAAGACUGUAAAAUUGUGGAUCAUCUACCCGCUGCAUUUGUGCCAGAAGGUUGUGAUAUAAACUUCUGGGCAAUAGCAUUAAUGCAAGACCUGUUCCUAAGUUACUCUCCAUUGACAAAGCUUUUACUGUCGUAGUACUCGUUCCGUUUCUGCAAAAGCAACGCCACAGACUAAGGUGGUGUUUAGAUCCAGGGACUUAACUUCCCUGUCUUUAGACACUAAUUUAGAGUAUUAAAUAUAGACUACUUACAAAACUAAUUACAUAAAUAAAAGCUAAUUCACGAGACAAAUUUUUUAAGCCUAAUUAAUCUAUAAUUAGAGAAUGUUUACUGUAGCAUCACAUAGGCUAAUCAUGGAUUAAUUAGGCUCAUUAGAUUCGUCUCGCAAAUUAGUCCAAGAUUAUGGAUGGGUUUUAUUAAUAGUCUACGUUUAAUAUUUAUAAUUAAUUUUUAAACAUCCGAUGUGAUAGGGACUUAAAAGUUUUAGUCCCAUCUAAACAGGGCCUAAGGGAAAGUCUAAUAAGAGAGUAAGCAGCCAUCUAUUAGAUACUUACUCCCUCGGUCCCAUAAAAAAGACAAACCCUGGUUUCCGUGUCCAACGUUUGACCGUCCGUCUUAUUUAAAAAAAUUAUGAAAAAAAAUUAAAAAGACAAGUCACGCAUAAAAUAUUAAUCAUGUUUUAUCAUCUAACAACAAUGAAAAUACGAAUUAUAAAAAGAUUUCAUAUAAGACGGACAGUUAAAGUUGGACACGGAAACCCAGGGUUUGUCUUUUUUUGGCCGGAGGGAGUACAUGUUAUUUCCAUAUCAUUAAAGAUAAUAUAAAAAUUAACCGAGUCAUUAAUUUUUUUCUUAAUGUGGGUCAAGCCUUGGUUCUCUCUCCUAGACUAUCUACCAAUCACAGAUGCUCUUUCCAUGUGGGCCCACCUUAAUUAUCUCUCACCUAAUCUUUUCACCAAUUACAGCAUCCAUCGCCAGCAUGCUGUGUCUAGGCGCCCGUGCGGAGCCGUCGUCAAUUUAGUCGACCGCUUCUCUCUCUCCACUCCCUCUUUCUUCCAGCAAUGCAAAAGGAGCUGACAUAAGUGGCUAAUAGUAGGCAUAUUUUCCCUAUUACACUUGCCCUAAAACUGAACAAAACCAUAGCACAUCAAUGGACCAGAAUAAAUAAAUGCAAACUACCCACCACCACCCGCAUUCUUAUCACAAGUUAAAGCUGCUACUGCAUAUGCAAUUGCAGCCUUGCAGGGACCCUCCCUCUCCGAUGAAAUGAACAAAUCAACUUAAGGUAGUUAACAUUGUUGUCAAGUGCCUUUAAGGUAGUUAAGGUUGUAAAUGGAACUCGUGUAGAUCAGAUCAUCAGGGCCAGGGUCUGUCUAAAACUAGAGAUUCUUUAAUUGCACACAGGAAUCUUAGACAAAUUUCGAAGGAAUCCGGUAAAUUCUUGCGUUUUAAAGGAGUUCAAUUAUACUCUUAUGAAGUGGAUUUCCUUAUGUACUAACUGGGUUCCAAUUUAUGGUUCACUUUUGCUCAGAAUUUAGUCAUGGCACAAGAUCACACCAUGAAUAAACUUUAGCACCAAAAUUGUCACUACGUUUUAGCUCAUGGCCUUUAACUAUCAGGCUUAAAAUACAGUAGUAAUCCAGAGCAAAAGGUUAAGCUGGCCUUGCGAGACAAAAGAAAUAAAAAAGAUGGCCGAGUAAAGAAAUUGCUGGAGUACAGCAGUGACAGUUGAAGAGAACGUGCGAGGGCUCCAAGCCAUGAUCAUUUGCUUACACAUCAUCCAUAUUUUUCUUUCCUACGAUAGAGAUCAUUUUUUCUUACCCUAGGAUAGUGAUCUAUUUUUCUCAGUAGCUAUAUGUGCUUGGAAAUGCAGAGGAGUUGAUUGAACGAGGAACGCCAAAGGCAAGAUUCAUCUGUAUCUUUGUUAAACCUAGUAAUGGAGCCAAUGACAUUGUUGAGUACGGACGUACAACUAAUAGCAUUUUUCGGUGGUUGGCCACUUUUUUAUAGCAUACAUACCAUAGGCAGCACUCGGCAGUGCAACUGUUAGUGGCAGAGCUCAAGUUACAGCCUGAUCUGCUCAGGAGUUGGUUAAACCCCAUAAUUCAAACAAAUAAAAAUUUACGUCAGCCGAACUAGCUAGCAUAGCAUAUGUUAGUUGUCACUACUAUAAGAAAUAAAUAUAUCGUCUUUAACAUUCAGAUAUGCUAUUUUUUCAUAAACUUUUCUACAAUACAAUUGUAUGCAAAUCAAGUUGCAUUUUGGAAACCAUAUCAAUGUAAAAGCGUCACUUGUGAUUUAAGGGAGUGAUUUUAAGCUUUUCUACUCCUAUAAAAAAAAGGAACCAGUAGUUACCUCAUGAUUAAACAUGUGGGCAUCCAUCUUUCAAGCCGAUCAGACAGAUUGCCAGCGAUUAUUGUAGAUAAAUCAUCCCUAGAUGGAUGCAUAGCUAGUUAGCUACAUGUCGACAUAGCUAAUUAACCAGUCUGAUAGAUCCACGCCAAAAAAACUCUUCGCUGGAGGCUUUUAGGCCCUCCAAUUUUGUGAGUUAUGAGGUGCAUGCUUAGCCACAACACAAGCUAAAGCUGACCUGCAUUUUAUUUUAUUUUUGUUCAGUUCAGUUGUGCAUGCAUGCAAAGAGGGAUCCUUUGAUGGCCUGAUCAACUGUAAAAUUGUUUAUAAACAUGGUUAGUAAUAUAGAAAUGACAGAGAUAGAUUCCAUGAGUUGGUACACUAGUGGAGCUUGACAUUGUAGGGAUCAAGGUGGAGCGUAAAUUCAAAGGUGAAAAAGGGAAGAGCAAACCAAGCGAACAUGUGAGGUACAGCCUUAUAGCGGCUGAUAGCAUAUCAAAGUUAAUUAUAGUCGCCGCAAUCGGCAUUGGUCUUGGGUUAAGAUUUCGGGAAGAGGCAUUAUGCACCACUGUCGUCGACUGGUGUAUAAGCGGCUUUUCUAUUGCGUCACUCACCAAUUUUCUGGUUGUGGGCGUGAAGAUUCGCCACCACCGCCUGGAAGAGCAGUACUCCAAUGCAAGGGUGAAAUAGAGCGGUGCUAUCGCGGACAAGAUUUUUCCAAUGUCCGCCAACUCUAUCAUCUUGAAAUUGGUGAAAAUAAAAGAUGAAAUGUGUAUUAAAUAUAUACUUACGAGUCGAUAGUAUAUAUAGCGAACACCGAUAUGCGUCGUCAUCGAGUGAUCUAAUUAUGCCGUUAGUUAUUUAAGCAUGCGAGCCACAUGUGGUGAGCAUAUGAUGGCAACCAUAGGGUGUGUUUGGUUGCCUGCAUGUGUUUUGGCUCGCACCCGCCCAUGCAACUUCGGGUUGUUUGGUUGCCUGUUCGAAGAUCUUAGCCAAGCCCUAAGGAUGCAGGAUUCCCUCCACAGCCAGGCUCUAGAGGAACGCGGGGAAUGAGCUUCGCUCCUCAACCUGGAUGAGCGGAUGCAGGGGCGGGUGCCUCGCGCGAUGCAACGCCUGCAGUCCGCUCACCUCCACUGUCUCAUUUGCUCCUUCCCCAUCCUCUUUCCUCUCCUUCUCAUUGUUUCCCAUCUUCCUCCUCUUCUCGUCGAAGCCACCGUCAUCUUCCAGAGCACUGUCGACUCUCCUCGUUUCUGAGUCGCCGGACUGACCAGAUCUGGCGGCCAUGAGCUCCUAGCACCAUAUCCGGCGGCCUUGACCUAAUGGCAACUCACAAGCCAUUCUCUGUGUCCUUGAUGUCCAUCUUUGGUGAGCACCUUGACUGCAACAGGUAGUGACUUCAGACCAACCCUGACAUUCUCAUCUAUGUAGCCCUUGUAAACAGUCCCAAACCCUCCUUCACCAAGAACGUAGUCAGCACGGAAGUUCUUUGUGAUGGUCUCGAGUUCAAACAAUG